AACGAACGCCGGCGGCAUGCCUAACACAUGCAAGUCGAACGAGACCUUCGGGUCUAGUGGCGCACGGGUGCGUAACGCGUGGGAACCUGCCCUUAGGUUCGGAAUAACUCCCCGAAAGGGGUGCUAAUACCGGAUAAUGUCUUCGGACCAAAGAUUUAUCGCCUUUGGAUGGGCCCGCGUUGGAUUAGCUAGUUGGUAGGGUAAAAGCCUACCAAGGCGACGAUCCAUAGCUGGUCUGAGAGGAUGAUCAGCCACACUGGGACUGAGACACGGCCCAGACUCCUACGGGAAGCAGCAGUGGGGAAUAUUGGACAAUGGGCGAAAGCCUGAUCCAGCUAUGCCGCGUGAGUGAUGAAGGCCUUAGGGUUGUAAAGCUCUUUUACCCGGGAUGAUAAUGACAGUACCGGGAGAAUAAGCUCCGGCUAACUCCGUG
rnacentral:rRNA from 1 species